GACAGAUGGCAUUGUCAGCCAAUCCCCAAGUGGGAGUGAGGACAUGUCCUGCAAUUCUGAAGGGAUUCUCUGUCACUUGGCUCUUCUCUUUCAUAUACUCAGUCACUUGACUCUGUGAUCAGAGCCAAAUCCAGGGUUGUAUGAGUGAUGCAAUGAGACAGAGACAAAGCCCAGGAAAUGAGUCUGACCGUUGAAUGAGAGUGUUUGCUAAGUCUGAGAAUGACAAACUCCUCCCUCUCAGGGGCACCACCACGAGGCGAUUUGUGGGCCAUACCAAGGAUGUGCUGAGUGUGGCCUUCUCCUCUGACAACCGGCAGAUUGUCUCUGGAUCUCGAGAUAAAACCAUCAAGCUAUGGAAUACCCUGGGUGUGUGCAAAUACACUGUCCAGGCUGGAGUGCAGUAGUGCGAUCUCGGCUCACUGCAAGCUCUGCUUCCCGGGUUCACGCCAUUCUCCUGCCUCAGCCUCCCGAGUCGCUGGGACUACAGGCGCCUGCCAUCAGGAUGAGAGCCACUCAGAGUGGGUGUCUUGUGUCCGCUUCUCGCCCAACAGCAGCAACCCUAUCAUCGUCUCCUGUGGCUGGGACAAGCUGGUCAAGGUAUGGAACCUGGCUAACUGCAAGCUGAAGACCAACCACAUUGGCCACACAGGCUAUCUGAACACGGUGACUGUCUCUCCAGAUGGAUCCCUCUGUGCUUCUGGAGGC
rnacentral:lncRNA from 10 species